rnacentral:rRNA from 1 species
CCUACGGGAGACAGCAGUGAGGAAUAUUGGUCAAUGGGCGCGAGCCUGCACCAGCCAAGUAGCGUGAAGGAUGACUGCCCUACGGGUUGUACACUUCUUUUAUAAAGGAAUAAAGUGAGGCACGUGUGCCUUUUUGUCUGUACUUUAUGAAUAAGGAUCGGCUAACUCCGUGCCAGCAGCCGCGGUAAUACGGAGGAUCCGAGCGUUAUCCGGAUUUAUUGGGUGUAAAGGGAGCGUAGAUGGGUUGUUAAGUCAGUUGUGAAAGUUUGCGGCUCAACCGUAAAAUUGCAAUUGAUACUGGCAGUCUUGAGUACAGUUGAGGUAGGCGGAAUUCGUGGUGUAGCGGUGAAAUGCUGAGAUAUAACGAAGAACACCGAUUGCGAAGGCAGCUUACUAAACUGCCACUGACAUUGAUGCUCGAAAGUGUGGGGAUCAAACAGGAUUAGAUACCCCUGUAGUC